rnacentral:rRNA from 1 species
ACUAAGCGUACACGGUGGAUGCCCUGGCAGUCAGAGGCGAUGAAGGACGUGCUAAUCUGCGAUAAGCGUCGGUGAGGUGAUAUGAACCGUUAUAACCGGCGAUUUCCGAAUGGGGAAACCCAGUGUGUUUCGACACACUAUCAUUAACUGAAUCCAUAGGUUAAUGAGGCGAACCGGGGGAACUGAAACAUCUAAGUACCC